CAGAGGAACCUGUUCUAUAAUCGAUAAUCCACGAUGGACCUUACUUAAGUUUGUUAAUCAGUUUAUAUACCGUCGUUAUUAGAAUAUUUUAUAAGAAUAAUAAUUUUCAUAAAAUUUAAUUAAAUUAUAUAUCAGAUCAAGGUGUAGCUUAUAUUUAAGUAGAAAUGGGUUACAAUAAAAUUAUUUAUACGGAAAUAAAUAUGAAAAAUUUAUUGAAGGUGGAUUUGAUAGUAAAAUUAUAAAGAUUAAUAAUUUGAUUUUAGCUCUAAAAUAUGU
rnacentral:rRNA from 1 species